AGCGAACGCUGGCGGCAGGCCUAACACAUGCAAGUCGAACGAACCUUUCGGGGUUAGUGGCGGACGGGUGAGUAACACGUGGGAACGUGCCUUUAGGUUCGGAAUAACUCAGGGAAACUUGUGCUAAUACCGAAUGUGCCCUUCGGGGGAAAGAUUAAUCGCCUUUAAAGCGGCCCGCGUCUGAUUAGCUAGUUGGUUGAGGUAAUGGCUCACCAAGGCGACGAUCAGUAGCUGGUCUGAGAGGAUGAUCAGCCACAUUGGGACUGAGACACGGCCCAAACUCCUACGGGAGGCAGCAGUGGGGAAUCUUGCGCAAUGGGCGAAAGCCUGACGCAGCCAUGCCGCGUGAAUGAUGAAGGUCUUAGGAUUGUAAAAUUCUUUCACCGGGGACGAUAAUGACGGUACCCGGAGAAGAAGCCCCGGCUAACUUCGUG
rnacentral:rRNA from 1 species